rnacentral:rRNA from 1 species
GAUGAACGCUGGCGGCGUGCCUAAUACAUGCAAGUCGAGCGAACUGAUUAGAAGCUUGCUUCUAUGACGUUAGCGGCGGACGGGUGAGUAACACGUGGGCAACCUGCCUGUAAGACUGGGAUAACUUCGGGAAACCGAAGCUAAUACCGGAUAGGAUCUUCUCCUUCCUGGGAGAUGAUUGAAAGAUGGUUUCGGCUAUCACUUACAGAUGGGCCCGCGGUGCAUUAGCUAGUUGGUGAGGUAACGGCUCACCAAGGCAACGAUGCAUAGCCGACCUGAGAGGGUGAUCGGCCACACUGGGACUGAGACACGGCCCAGACUCCUACGGGAGGCAGCAGUAGGGAAUCUUCCGCAAUGGACGAAAGUCUGACGGAGCAACGCCGCGUGAGUGAUGAAGGCUUUCGGGUCGUAAAACUCUGUUGUUAGGGAAGAACAAGUACAAGAGUAACUGCUUGUACCUUGACGGUACCUAACCAGAAAGCCACGGCUAACUACGUGCCAGCCGCCGCCGUAAUAC